rnacentral:rRNA from 1 species
UACGAAGGGGGCUAGCGUUGCUCGGAAUUACUGGGCGUAAAGCGCACGUAGGCGGAUUGUUAAGUCGGGGGUGAAAUCCUGGAGCUCAACUCCAGAACUGCCUUCGAUACUGAAGGUCUCGAGACCGGAAGAGGUAAGUGGAACUGCGAGUGUAGAGGUGAAAUUCGUAGAUAUUCGCAAGAACACCAGUGGCGAAGGCGGCUUACUGGUCCGGUUCUGACGCUGAGGCGCGAAAGCGUGGGGAGCAAACAGG